GACGAACGCUGGCGGCGUGCUUAACACAUGCAAGUCGAACGGAAAGGCCCUGCUUUUGUGGGGUGCUCGAGUGGCGAACGGGUGAGUAACACGUGAGUAACCUGCCCUUGACUUUGGGAUAACUUCAGGAAACUGGGGCUAAUACCGGAUAGGAGCUCCUGCUGCAUGGUGGGGGUUGGAAAGUGUCGGCGGUAGGGGAUGGACUCGCGGCUUAUCAGCUUGUUGGUGGGGUAGUGGCUUACCAAGGCUUUGACGGGUAGCCGGCCUGAGAGGGUGACCGGCCACCUUGGGACUGCGAUACGGACCAGACUGCUACGGGAGGCAGCAGUGGGGAAUAUUGCACAAUGGCGGGAAGCCUGAUGUGGCAACGCCGCGUGCGGGAUGACGGCUUUCGGGUUGUAAACCGCUUUCGCCUUUGACGAAGAGUGAGUGACGGUAAUGGGUAAAGAAGCACCGGCUAACUACGUG
rnacentral:rRNA from 1 species